AUUGAACGCUGGCGGCAGGCCUAACACAUGCAAGUCGAACGAGUGGCGGACGGGUGAGUAAUGUCUGGGAAACUGCCUGAUGGAGGGGGAUAACUACUGGACACGGUAGCUAAUACCGCAUACCAUCAGAUGUGCCCAGAGGGGAUUUGCUUGUUGGUGGGGUAACGGCUCACCAAGGCGACGAUCCCUAGCUGGUCUAAGAGGAUGACCAGCCACACUGGAACUGAGACAAGUUCCAGACUCCUACGGGAGGCAGAAGUGGGGAAUAUGGCACAAUGGGCGCAAGCCUGAUGCAGCCAUGACGCGUGUAUGAAGAAGGCCUUCGGGUUGUAAAGGACUUUCAGCGGGGAGGCGUUACCCGCAGAAGAAGCACCGGCUAACUCCGUGACAGCAGCCGCGGUAAUAC
rnacentral:rRNA from 1 species